rnacentral:tRNA from 1 species
GCGGAAUUGGUUUAGUGGUAGAACAUGUGCUUCCCAAGCAUAGGGCACGGGUUCGAUUCCCGUAUUCCGCA